rfam:Pseudomonadales bacterium RIFCSPLOWO2_02_FTLL_63_210 rifcsplowo2_02_scaffold_48015, whole genome shotgun sequence.
GAGGGCGGGGCCCUCGGGUUUGCCGAUCAGGCGGUGAUUCCAAACCUGGACUGCAUACGUAAAGGGCGUGUGUGGUGAGCGCCUGGGCUCCGGUCUGGCGGUAUCCGGAAUAG